GUGCCCGUUGGCCUACUGGUAACGCUUUUGUCUUCCGUUCUGAAGGUCCCGGGUUCGAUUCCUCAUGGGUGCA